rnacentral:rRNA from 1 species
UAAGGAAUAUUGGUCAAUGGGCGCAAGCCUGAACCAGCCAUGCCGCGUGCAGGAUGAAUGCCCUAUGGGUUGUAAACUGCUUUUGUACGGGAAAAAACCUUCGAACGUGUUCGGAGCUGAUGGUACCGUAAGAAUAAGGAUCGGCUAACUCCGUGCCAGCAGCCGCGGUAAUACGGAGGAUCCAAGCGUUAUCCGGAUUUAUUGGGUUUAAAGGGUGCGUAGGCGGAAUAAUAAGUCAGUGGUGAAAGCCUACAGCUUAACUGUAGAACUGCCAUUGAUACUGUUAAUCUUGAGUAUAUUUGAAGUGGGCGGAAUGUGUCAUGUAGCGGUGAAAUGCUUAGAUAUGACACAGAACUCCGAUAGCGAAGGCAGCUCACUAAACUAUAACUGACGCUGAGGCACGAAAGCGUGGGGAUCAAACAGG